UCCAUUGUCAGCUGUUUAAGUUCCGUUGUUGUUUCAUAUUUCAGCACGACACGAGAUUGUCGCUUCGAUGUUUUGGUAUCAUUCAAAUACUUUGCCGCUCCUUCCACAUUCACUAGCCCAGAAAGAAAGCUUAACUUUAGGCUUGCUUCUAUGUUAAGAGCACUAGCUUUAUCUUGAAUUGCGUUUUCCGUGAAUACUUCGGAAUUAGUAAAUGGUACAGGUAUAGUGUUACGGGCGGCAUUCAAGUGAUCAGGAGACCAUAACGUUUUGCCAAGAAUUAACUUGUCUGAACGACGGUCGUAAAGCAUCCCCAAGUCAAACGGUCGUCCAAGGGCAGAAAUCAUUUUGCUGUA